rnacentral:rRNA from 1 species
AGGGUUAUACUGUCUCCUUUUUCUAAUCAGUGAAACUAAUCUUCCCGUGAAGAAGCGGGAAUAAAUAUAUAAGACGAGAAGACCCUAUGGAGCUUUAAACUUAAUAACAAAUACUAACCUUACUUCAACUUCCAGAACAUUAAUCUUAAUUUUAGUAUUGUGUUUAUUAGUUUUAGGUUGGGGUGACCGCGGAGUAAAAAUUAACCUCCAUAUUGAAUAGGACUCGUCCUUGAGCUGAGAACUACAACCCUAAGCACCAAUAAAUUGACAUUAAUUGACCCAAUAUUUUGAUCAACGAACCAAGUUACCCUAGGGAUAACAGCGCAAUCCACUUCAAGAGCUCCUAUCGACAAGUGGGUUUACGACCUCGAUGUUGGAUCAGGGUAUCCCAGUGGUGCAGCCGCUACUAAAGGUUCGUUUGUUCAACGAUUAAAACCCU